AGUUCAGGUGCUUAGAAUAAACCUGCCUUUGUAAGACCCCCUUUCGGGAACCCCCACUCUAGUCUCAGGAGUGAGAGAGCUCCCAAAGAAACACGAGAAUCC
rnacentral:pre_miRNA from 7 species